rnacentral:rRNA from 1 species
GGCUGAAAUUCGCCUUCCAUGAAGCUGGAAUUGCUAGUAAUGGCAGGUCAGCAUACUGCCGUGAAUACGUUCCCGGGCCUUGUACACACCGCCCGUCACACCAUGAGAGUUGGGAAUACCCGAAGCCUGUGAGCUAACUUAUAGAGGCAGCAGUCGAAGGUAGAAUCAAUGAUUGGGGUGAAGUCGUAACAAGGUAUC